rnacentral:lncRNA from 1 species
GAAAAUAAAAAUUAAAAAAAAAAAAAAACACAGAAGAAAGGGUUUUCCUGGGGCUUCUUCCAGUCACUUUCUGAAGCAGCAGGGGCCGGGGCAGCCCUCAGGAGCAGCACCGUGCCAGCAGCGCCCCGCUCCCAUCGCGUGAGGCACCGGACCGGUAACGGACAAGUAACGGACAAAUAACGGACGGCCAACGGACACACCACAGCCCCUGCCGCCUUCUAGGCGCCUCAGCCGCUCCUAGAGCACAUCCCAACGCCCAAAACCACCUCCCCGUGCCCACACCCUCCCCGAGAACCCACCCCAACCCCCAAAACCCCUUAAACCUCCCCAAAACCCCUUAAAUCUCCCCUAAACCCCCCCCUUCUCCCUCCCCACCCCUCACCUGAGGCGCCGCCACCUCCCCCUCCUCCCAGCACCCCCCGCGCGCCCUCCUCCCCCUCCCACCCCUCCCCUCCCACCCCGCGCCCCUCCCUCCCUCCCUCCCCUCCCCUUCCGCCCCUCCCUUCCCCCAUCCCCUUCCGGGUGCGCGCGCGCGGGGCCCUCUGGGACCCCUCCCUCCCCCCCCCACCUCCCUCCCCUCCCUCCUCCCUCUCCCUCUCUUCCCCCCCCCCCCCUUCCACCUCCCUCCCCUCCCUCCCCUCCCCGUGGGGCGCAUGCGCGCUGCCCGCUCCUCGCUCGCCGCCCGGCCGCGCCGCGCCGAGCCCCGCACCCGAAGCGCGGCGGCCGCUGACGAGAUGCGGAGCGCGGGGGGGGGCGGGGGGCGCCGGGCUUCACCCCGUUAAAGGGACAGGCCGACAGUUCACCCCCCCCCCUUUCCCUUUCUCCCCUUUUUCCCCUGCACCCCCCCCCCCUCCCUCUCCCCCUUUUCCCUUCCUCAAUUCCUCCUCUGCUUCCUCCCAGCCCCGCGGGCGGCGGCGGCGGCGGCGCCUCAGUCGGGUUCCCCCCCCCCCCUCUUUUUUUUUUUUUUUUUUCCCUUUUCUCUUUCCUUUUCCUUUCACCCCCCCCCCCCCCCCCCCCUCGCUCCCCUCCUCCCCCUUUAUUGCCCUUUGUGUGCGCCGCCGCCUGCGCCGCCGGGGGGCCGCCGAGAUCCUUAUUGACGAUGGUGGUCAUUGGAGGUAUAAAUAUUGAAGAAUCUCUCAUUUACAGACAAGAUCUUUGAAAUCUGUUUCCUUCAGACAGCAAAG